rnacentral:rRNA from 1 species
UACGGAGGGUGCAAGCGUUAUCCGGAUUUACUGGGUUUAAAGGGCGCGUAGGCGGGCUAUCAAGUCCGGGGUGAAAUCCUCCAGCUUAACUGGAGAACUGCCUCGGAUACGGAUGGUCUCGAGGAGGAUAGGGGCACACGGAACUGUGGGUGGAGCGGUGAAAUGCGCAGAUAUCAGGAAGAACACCAGCGGCGAAGGCGGCACUCUGGGCCGGAACUGACGCUGAGGAGCGAAAGCGUGGGGAGCAAACAGG